rnacentral:tRNA from 1 species
GGUGCCCGUGGUGAAACGGUUAUCACAGGGGUUUGUGGUACCUCUAUUACGGGUUCGAUUCCCCUUCACCA